rnacentral:tRNA from 1 species
UUAAUUGAAGCCAAAUAGAGGCUUAUUAUUGUUAAUAAUAAAAUUGAGUAUUAUUCCAAUUAAA